CUCCCUUCGGGGACAUUCGAUAAAAUCGAAACGUUACAUAGAAGAUUGGCAUGGCUCAUACUCAAGGAUGACACACAUAAAUCGAGAAAGAGGAUGUUU